GAUGAAGAACGUAGCGAAAUGCGAUAAGUAAUGUGAAUUGCAGAUUUCAGUGAAUCAUCGAAUCUUUGAACGCACAUUGCGCCCUUUGGUAUUCCAAAGGGCAUGCCUGUUCGAGCGUCAUUUGUACCCUCAAGCUUUGCUUGGUGUUGGGCGUCUUGUCUCUAGCUUUGCUGGAGACUCGCCUUAAAGUAAUUGGCAGCCGGCCUACUGGUUUCGGAGCGCAGCACAAGUCGCACUCUCUAUCAGCAAAGGUCUAGCAUCCAUUAAGCCUUUUUUUCAACUUUUGACCUCGGAUCAGGUAGGGAUACCCGCUGAACUUAAGCAUAUCAAUAAGCGGAGGA
rnacentral:misc_RNA from 1 species